UUUGCCAUGGCGGAUCCGCUGGCCGCCGGGAACGCCACCGACGGGGACGCCGUGAGGGCGGGUUUCUCGGUGCGACGGAAGUCUGACGCCGGCUGGUGCAGCGAGUGGAGGCCUCCGGAGGCUUCUGCUCCGACGCUAAGGCUAGCGGGUCAUGUCCUACUCUUUCGUCAGGUUCAGGUAACCAAUAGUUGAUCUGGUAAUUUGUUGGUCAACGUUGUUUGAUUGAUCUACACAACCUUGAGAUGUGCGACAGGCGGGACAAGCGCGAGCGGCCGUGGGACAUGGACUCAAGCCAACACAGGUUCAUGGCGGAGCAGCUCACCUGCUGGUCUCCACUUCGUAGUCGGCAGCAGCUGCCUCACCAAUUGAUGUAGAUCCAUUUUUUACACACAGACCUCAAUAAAAGUUGGGGAUCAAGAAAUUGAUCGCUUCGAAGUACUGAGCAUGCCUAUUCUUUCUUAUGCAUGAGGGUAUGAAAC
rnacentral:lncRNA from 1 species